rnacentral:rRNA from 1 species
AUACGUAGGGUGCAAGCGUUGUCCGGAAUUAUUGGGCGUAAAGAGCUCGUAGGCGGUUUGUCGCGUCUGCUGUGAAACCCCGAGGCUCAACCUCGGGCCUGCAGUGGGUACGGGCAGACUAGAGUGCGGUAGGGGAGAUUGGAAUUCCUGGUGUAGCGGUGGAAUGCGCAGAUAUCAGGAGGAACACCGAUGGCGAAGGCAGAUCUCUGGGCCGUAACUGACGCUGAGGAGCGAAAGCAUGGGGAGCGAACAGGAUUAGAUACCCUGGUAGUCCAUGCCGUAAACGUUGGGAACUAGAUGUGGGGACCAUUCCACGGUUUCCGUGUCGCAGCUAACGCAUUAAGUUCCCCGCCUGGGGAGUACGGCCGCAAGGCUAAA